rnacentral:rRNA from 1 species
CCUACGGGAGGCAGCAGUGGGGAAUAUUGCACAAUGGGGGAAACCCUGAUGCAGCGACGCCGCGUGAGUGAAGAAGUAUCUCGGUACGUAAAGCUCUAUCAGCAGGGAAGAAAAUGACGGUACCUGACUAAGAAGCCCCGGCUAACUACGUGCCAGCAGCCGCGGUAAUACGUAGGGGGCAAGCGUUACCCGGAUUUAAUGGGGUGAAAGGGAGCGUAGACGGCAGCACAAGUCUGGAUGGAAAUCCCGGGGCUUAACCCCGGAACUGCUUUGGAAACUGGGCGGCUGGAGUUCAGGAGGGGUAAGCGGAAUUCCUAGUGUAGCGGUGAAAUGCGUAGAUAUUAGGAGGAACACCGGUGGCGAAGGCGGCUUACUGGACUGUAACUGACGUUGAGGCUCGAAAGCGUGGGGAGCAAACAGGAUUAGAUACCCGAGUAGUC